rnacentral:tRNA from 1 species
GCCCUGGUAGUGUAGUCGGCUAUCAUCCGGCCCUGUCGAGGCCGGGACCCGGGUUCAAAUCCCGGUCAGGGCG